CAGUAGCCGCGGUAAUACGGAGGGAGCUAGCGUUGUUCGGAAUUACUGGGCGUAAAGCGCGCGUAGGCGGUUACUCAAGUCAGAGGUGAAAGCCCGGGGCUCAACCCCGGAACUGCCUUUGAACUAGGUGACUAGAAUCUUGGAGAGGUCAGUGGUAUUCCGAGUGUAGAGGUGAAAUUCGUAGAUAUUCGGGAGAACACCAGUGGCGAAGGCGACUGACUGGACAAGUAUUGACGCUGAGGUGCGAAAGCGUGGGGAGCAAACAGGAUUAGAUACCCCAGUAGUCCCUGUCUCUAUACAC
rnacentral:rRNA from 1 species